CCUACGGGGGGCAGCAGUGAGGAAUAUUGGUCAAUGGGCGCGAGCCUGAACCAGCCAAGUCGCGUGAGGGAAGACGGCCCUACGGGUUGUAAACCUCUUUUGCCGGGGAGCAACGGGCGCCACGUGUGGCGACACUGAGAGUACCCGGAGAAAAAGCAUCGGCUAACUACGUGCCAGCAGCCGCGGUAAUACGUAGGUGGCAAGCGUUAUCCGGAUUUACUGGGUGUAAAGGGCGUGUAGGCGGGGACGCAAGUCAGAUGUGAAAACCACGGGCUCAACCUGUGGCCUGCAUUUGAAACUGUGUUUCUUGAGUACUGGAGAGGCAGACGGAAUUCCUAGUGUAGCGGUGAAAUGCGUAGAUAUUAGGAGGAACACCAGUGGCGAAGGCGGUCUGCUGGACAGCAACUGACGCUGAGGCGCGAAAGCGUGGGGAGCAAACAGGAUUAGAUACCCCUGUAGUC
rnacentral:rRNA from 1 species